GCGUGAGUGCGUGCGUGCGUGCGUUCGGCGCGCGGGGCGUGGGCGCGGCACCUGGGCCCGGGCACCGCCACCUAGGCCCUAGCUCCGACCAGUGGUGUUCUAUAAACGCUUAUUACAUCAUUGUGCAUAGGCUUCAUUUUUAAAAGUACUCCCAAAUAAAUACAAGGAGGCGAUGGAAAUUGAAUGAAGAUUCGAAGGAUUCCCAUAGAGCGUGGCUCACUUCCCCUCACCGGGACAGCGAGCGGCGGCUCACCUGGGAGAGCAAAGCGUGGCUCUCCUGCGCCCACCCGGGAGAGCAAACAAUGGCUCACCUGCGCCCACCCGGGAGAGCAAGCGUGGCUCACCUGCGCCCACUCGGGAAAGCCAGCCGCCAUCCUGUGCUGCAGGCAGGGAGCGGGCGGCGGGAGAGGAGCGGAUCCACUUAGGUCAGCGGUUAAAACGUCGUUACAAGAGGCCACCCCGGCAUCGCGGGGCCUGUGGCUGCGCCCCCUCUUGAAUUCAGGCCUAGCACAUCACCUCCGCCCCUCGCACCCUGCAGUCUGCGCUCCAUACAGCACGUGAGCGGGUGCUCAGCAAUGUUCCCUGGCUGAAAGAACCGCAUAGAGUAGCAUGCAAAAAUGACAUGCAUGUUUAAGAUAAAAUAAGGGAGAGGACACCUGUUCUGACUGAGUCUGGCAACUCAGAUCUCCCCGCAGCCAACAUCUACAUUCCUUUGGACAGCUGUCUGCUGUGUAGGGACACCUCCCUGGAACUUUGAAAAGCACCCCAUCAUUACCUUCCACUUUGUUCUGGAGCAAGGUUUCAAAAGAAGAGUGCCGUAUUUUGAUUAAUUUAGUGAAUUGGAUUUUCAGACACAAGUAAGAGCAUCCACUCAGUGGCCUCUGCAGUAAAUAAUGAUAUCAGAUCACAUAACAAGAAGACUGGAGGUUGGCGGGAAAUCUGGACCUGGUGACUCAAAGAAGUCAUGAAGGACCAUCUCUCCAUUCUGCCACCUUCUCGCCUGUGGAUUUUCCUCCCCAGGCUUGUCACUUCAUUGUCGAGAGAUGCCCUCACAAUCCAAGCCAGGCAGCCUCACAUGACCAGAUCUAAAACACAAAGAGGGAGCCAAACUGAGAAAGGACCUUUUCCCUCUGAACACUUCUCUCUUGGAAAAAGAAAAUGUUUCCCAGAAAGCCUCAUAGCCUUCCUCUUAUAUCUCCUUGACUAACUGGGACCCGGAUCCCUGGAUAUCCUUUCCUGAGAAAGAGAGGGUCUGGGGCAGGGGAUAGAGAAAAUGACUAGCAACUAGCAGCACAUGAUGUUUAAACAUAAGAUUUAAAGAAAUGCAAGGCACAAACAAUUUGAAGACUUUUUUUAAGUUUUUAAAAUCUUCACAAAAUAAAAAGGAAUUGGACAAUGCACUUUAAAAACUAGAAGACGUUUCACUGAAAACAGCAUCUCCUAAUUCAUUUCAUGGCUUAGAUAGUAAUAGAAAAUUAUUUUAUUCUAAUUCCAUACUUUAUCAACUAAUUUUAAUUAUUUUAUAAUUACCCAAAAUAUGUCAUGUAGAAUGAAAAUAAAAGAAAAUGAAAACAGUUAUAUCAAGGCCAAGUCAGUUGUAUGUUUACUGGCUAUUUAGAAAUUUCUAAAUACGUGUAUAUUUAGAAAUGACUAUAUAGAUACUAUUUGGGUAAUGUUAGGGAUGGAAAGUUUAUGUCCCCCCAAAAUUUGUAUGUUGAAAUCCUAAGCCCAAUGUGAUGGUUUUAAGGGGCGGGGCCUUUGUGAGGUGAUUAGGUCAUGAGAGUGGAGACUUCAUGGAUGAGAAUAGUAAGUAUCCUUAUAAAAGAGACUCCAGAGAACUUUCUAGCCCUCUUGCCACCACCUAAGGAUGCAAAGAGUUGACAGCAACCUGGAAGAGCCCUCACCAGAACUCGACCAUUCUGGCACUCUGACUUCCAGCCUCCACUGUGAGAAAUAAAUUUCUAUUGUUUAUGAGCCACUCAGCAUAUGGUACUUUGUAGCCCUAGACAGGCUAAGACAGGUAAUUAGCAAUUUUAGGUGAUUUUCAUCAUCAAAAUUUUCAUGAUGGCAUUUUGGAGAAUUCACAUAAACCACUCUGUUACCCUCCUAAAAGUAUUGCUCAAAUACUGAAUUAUAUUUAUGCUUGCCAAAGUUAAUUUUUUUCCAACAAGUAACACUAGCCACUUCAUUUUGUGCUUUUGAUACAAAAGCAUUUCCCAAUCCAGCGGCUUUCAUCUUCUGGCCUGGUUGGCAAAAGUGUAACUCACUUCUGCACCCUCUCUGAACCCUAGUCUCCUCCUCAAAUGUAAAACAGUAAUAAACCUUUCUUACCCAGGAAGCCAUUAUAAGGAUUAUAAUCAACAUAAGAUAUAAUUCUUUAAUUAUCAAAGCAGUUGCUGGCAUGUGGCAGGCAUUCAACAGAAACCGUGUUGCUAUGUUAUUUUUAUUGUUACCAUUAAUAUUCCUAUUGGGAUUGAAACCCUUAUGUCAUAUCAAAACUUUUCCAUCUUUGACAAAUGAGACAUAUUAGGAUAGUAUCUUAAUAAUAUGUAAGAGUUUAGUGCUUGAGCUAUUCAAUUAUUAAACUUUGCUUCCAAGACCACAGACUGGUGGUAUAUACUGUGUGCGUGUGUGUGUGUGUGUGUGUUUGUGUGUGUGUAUGAGAAAGAAUAUGCUGUUCUUUUCUUCUUCUGGGUAGAAGUUGUUGAGCCUUCAAGGGAAGAGGUUUUCACCUACAGCAGACAGUGCCAGUUCUCUUGGUGUGAGGGAUUCUGGGAGAUGGCUGCCCAUUUCCAUAUUCAUGAAUUUUAUAAACAUGGUCUCAGAUAAAUGCAAGUGUACACUUCGGUGAGCUCAUUUGUUUUUGAGCAGAGGGGAUAAUACGGCCCUAAAUAAUGUGCUUCCCUGUCAGCCAGGAGAGUUACAUUCUGGAGAUGUGUGUGUCGGUGGGUGCGGGAGGCAGGUGGUGUUGAGGAGAUAGGGAAGCCAACAGGACAAAGCUCAGAGGGAAAACAGCCCAAUCUAAAUCCAGUUCUUUCUCUGUGUGGAUUCCCACUGACUUCCAAACCUCUCAGCUCCCUGACUCAGUGGUAAGGAAGAAAAAAGUACCAGGAUUGAGGGGAUGGUGUUCUAGCCCUCCAGCAGAGGAGUAAGAUGUGUGAGCCCAGGGUGAAGCAAGUGCACAAUUUUAGUAAAAGAUUUUCAUUGGCCAUACUGAAUGAAUCAUAAAGGGAUGUGAAGAGGCUACCUCUGGCAUCAUUGUCAUAAACACAGCUGGUGAGGGGGGAGGUGGUGUUCUCCUGGUGUCAAAAGACAAAAUUAUUUACAGAUCAAAUUGGCUUUUAUUCAUGAUUCAUGAAUCCAGUAGCCUCCAUUCUAUAAAAUAGAAUUAGAGUUCCCACUGGGGAAUGGCAGAACAGUGGUUUUGUAAGGUGGGAACAAGGAAACAGUAUUAUUUUAAAGGUUGAUUGGUUAGUGUCAGCUUAAUUCAGACUACUUUUCUCGUCAUGGUUAAAGCAAAUGGGACUUCCUUAUUACUCUGACUCAGGCAGACUGAACUCUUUCUGAUGGGUUGCUGUGACUCUUGUUUUCAAGAAAAACUGGUCUAUUUGGGGACCACCAGCUUUCUUAAAGUUUCAGCUUGGUUAAAUGGCACUUAGCAUGAGUGACUCCACUUUAGUUUGGUCUGUUGGGACCUAGUGCAGGAGCUCACUCUAAAACAAUGCCCUCCCGUAAUUUUUCUAUAGCACCUGAAACGGGGUAGAGCAGAGAUUGAAGGAAACAUUUGCUUGGGUCGUCAUUUUCCUCAAGGACUGCGCUACCAAUUGGAGUCAACACUUCUAGGUGCCUCCAGUUUGGUACAGUAUGUAAGGGGUUGAAUUGCAUCCCCCAAACAGAUAUGUUGAAGCCCUAACCCCUGGCACCUGUGAAUGUGGCCUUAUUUGGAAAGAGGGUUGUUACAGCCAUAAUCCAGUUAAGAUGAGGUCCUUCUGGAUUAGGGUGGGCCCUCAUCUGAUUGAUUGGUGUCCUUAUAAAGAAAAGGAAAAGAGUCACAGAGGGAAGAAGGCCAUGUGAAGAUGGGGGCAGAGAUUGGAGUGAUGCUGUCACAAGCCAAGGAAUGUCUGGGUUACCAACAGCUGGACUUUGUAGACAGCAUGGCCCUGCCAACACCUCGAUUUCAGUUUCUGCCUCCAGAACUGUGAGAGAACACGUUUAUGUUAUUUGAAGACACUGAGACUGCCGUCCAUUGUUCCAGCAGCCACAGGAAACGAAUGCCCUGCAUUCUUACAGCACUGCGGCAGGGGUGGAGUGAUUAAGAGCAGGGGCUAUGGAGUCAGCUUUCCAGGGUUCAAGUCCUAGCUCCACUGCUCAGGAGCCACUACUGAGAAUUGUUCAGAAUCAACCCAGCUGAGGUCUGAAGAUCAUUUAGACCGGAGCCUCGCCCACGAAGUUGAAGUCAUCUUCAAGUAAAACCUGUGUAUUGUUAAUGUAUCCAGAACAGUGCCUGACAUAUACUAGGCACUCAGUGAACAUUUGCUGAAUAAAUGAAUGCCGUUUAAAAACAUCCAAGGAUGCUGUAUCUUUGUCUACUUUGGAGGGAAUGUCUGUAUCACAAGAAUAAAUUUGAUACAACAUAGAACAAGAUGAUCAUCUGACACAAUUAGUAUUUCACUUGAAUUGUUUAUUAGGCAUUUAGCCACAUGACAAAAGACAAUUUGAAGACCACAGAUAUAAUUUCA
rnacentral:lncRNA from 10 species